rnacentral:lncRNA from 1 species
UAAUAAUAGUGCUUACAACCUAAUAGCCUUUUGUUGAGAUAAGUCUUCGUGCUCUCCCAGAAAAAGGCUUUUGUUGAGAUAGCCUUUUGUUGAAUAAAUUAAUAAUAGCACUCUGCCAAACAGAAGCUCUGCUUCGUGCUUUCCAGUUUUGAGUCAAUUGCUUCGUGUUGCCAGAAAAAGGCUCCGCCUGCAACCCCCAUCUCCGGCGAAAUCGUCGCAGGCGUGUCGCCUCCGACCCUCGCCUCCCACCCCCUUUCUACUUCCCUCUCUUUCUUUCAAUUCUCUCUCACGCCAACGCCCUCUCUCUCCCUCUGUGUCUCCUCGUCGUAGCACAUGCAGCGGCUACCGCCUCCGCCUCCGCCACUUCUCCGUCCCGGCGUCGGCUCCUUCUCCUCCUGCCUUGACUCAAAACACCAAAACCCCCAAAAUUUCUCCAAUUUCAGAAAACCCUUCUCCCUAAAUCAAAUCCCUAAUUUUCUCCUUCUACCCUCGCCGUGAACAGCACCGCCCCUCUUCUCUCGGCGAAUGGCGAGAAUCGCCGGCGCCUUCUCCUCUCCUUCCCACGGCCGCCGCCUUCUUCCCUCUUCUCUCUUUUCCCACCUGCCAACUCCCGCUCCCUUCCCCCAAUUUCUUGGCCAACUACCCAUGGCAGAAUCACAGCUGGGCCGACCUCCCUUCCCCCAAACAGAUGUGCCUGUGUCGGCGGUUCUGCACGAUAUGAUCUUUUGCGUAGUUAACCGGUUAAUUCGGUUAACCGAUUAACCGGACCGGUUAAUCGGUUAACCGAACUGAAAACCGGUUCGGUUUCGGUUAUCAUUUUUAAUCUUAAUCGGUUCCGAUUAACCGGUAAAUCGGUUCGGUUUUAACCGAACCGACCGGUUUACCAGCCCUAGUUGAUGUUCUUUAUAUUUUGUUUUUCUUAUAUGCAGCCUUUAACAUGGUUGGUGUUGCCGUGUUGGUAUUGGAGAGACGACUUGGUGUUGCCGAUUCGGAAGCUGCAAAUUUAUAUUUUUAUGUUGUAUUUCAUUCAAGACUUGUUACUUUUUGAAUUUUUGAUGCCUUUAAACUCUUUGAAAGUGUAUUUUUAUGCUUUCGAUGUUUUGGAUAUCUAAGAUUUGUUAUAAUUGAUUUGGAGAAAGACUUUUGGUAAUGAAAUGAUUUGUAAUUUUAUUCAAUUUGUUGAAGUAUGUAUGAAACGAGCUCAAAGCUCGAGCUCGCCGAGUUUGAACGAGCUCAAGUUCAAUGAGCUUAAACGAGCUCAAGCUCGAGCUCAAACUCGAGUAAGACUCUACAGUCGAGCUUAACCGAGUCAAGCUCGAGCUCACGAAUAUGACAUCGAGUCGAGCUCGAGCUCAAAAAAAUCAAGCUCGGC